AAGAAAUAUCAGUUGUGCCUGGAUGAAUUAGGAAAGCCUUCACAGAAACCCUGAGAUGCUGCACAAGAAACAUAAGAAAUACAAGUUACAGGUUUACUCAGAUUUGGCUUGGUAACAUGCUUUCUUCAGUGGAUACUAUCAUGCAUGAGUUUCAUGGACACUACACUUCACAGAAAAAAAAUUAAAAAAAAAAACAACUAAGAAUUUAUUGGGCAAAAAUUUACAAAAAUAAUUAGCAGAGUCAAAUAUAUGGUUCUUUAUAUUUUUCCUGGCCCAAAGAGAACUGCCUAGAUUGAGACUGUCUGGACUACAUACUUCAUGGACAGGAUUAUGGUAAAGAAAGAUUUCUCAAAUGAUCUAAGCAUUUUAGAUCAUUUCUGAAAGGGAGUAGAGAAGAUCUAUGUAACUUUGUAACAAAGGAG